UAAUGGGCGAAAGCCUGAUGCAGCGACGCCGCGUGAGGGAUGACGGCCUUCGGGUUGUAAACCUCUUUCAGUAGGGAACAAGGCCAGUGUUUAGCUGGUUGAGGGUACUUGCAGAAGAAGCGCCGACUAACUACGUGCCAGCAGCCGCGGUAAUACGUAGGGCGCAAGCGUUAUCCGGAAUUAUUGGGCGUAAAGAGCUCGUAGGCGGUUUGUCG
rnacentral:rRNA from 1 species